GCUCGUGUCGUGAGAUGUUGGGUUAAGUCCGUAACGAGCGCAACCCUGUCCUUAGUUACCAGCACGUUAUGUGGGCACUCUAAGGAGACUGCCGGUGACAACCGGAGGAAGGUGGGGAUGACGUCAAGUCAUCAUGGCCCUUACGGCCUGGGCUACACACGUGCUACAAUGGUCGGUACAAAGGGUUGCCAAGCCGCGAGGUGGAGCUAAUCCCAUAAAACCGAUCGUAGUCCGGAUCGCAGUCUGCAACUCGACUGCGUGAAGUCGGAAUCGCUAGUAAUCGUGAAUCAGAAUGUCACGGUGAAUACGUUCCCGGGCCUU
rnacentral:rRNA from 1 species